GAUUAACGCUGGCGGCGUGCUUAACACAUGCAAGUCGAACGAUGAAACUUAAAUGAUUUCUUCUGAAUGAACUUAAGUGGAUUAGUGGCGGACGGGGUAGUAACGCGUUAGUAACCUGCCUUACACAAGGGGAUAGCCGUUGUAAACGACGAAUAAUACCCUAUCAAACUAUCACUUCGCAUGAAGCGGUAGUCAACGUGUUAGCGGUGUAAGAUGGACUUGAGUCUGAUGAGCUAGUUGGCGAGAAAAAAGCCCACCAAGGCAACGAGCAGGAGCCGGAUGGAGAGAGGGCACGGUCGCAUUGGGACUGGGACAAGGCCCAGACUGCGACGGGCGGCAGCAGUGGGGAAAUAUGCACAAGGGGGGAAAUCCAGAUGCAGCGAGGCCGGGAGAUUUAGAAGGCCUUUGGGUUGCAAAAAUCUUUUGUAUAGGAAGAAAAUGACAGUACUAUAUGAAUAAGGACCGGCUAAUUACGUG
rnacentral:rRNA from 1 species